rnacentral:rRNA from 1 species
AUUGAACGCUGGCGGCGUGCUUAACACAUGCAAGUCGAGCGGUAACGCGGGGGCAACCCUGGCGACGAGCGGCGAACGGGUGCGUAAUACAUGGGAAUCUGCCCUGUAGUGGGGAAUAACCCGGCGAAAGCCGGGCUAAUGCCGCAUACGAUCUACGGAUGAAAGGCGGGGGACCUUCGGGCCUCGCGCUAUUGGAUGAGCCCAUGUCGGAUUAGCUAGUUGGUGAGGUAACGGCUCACCAAGGCGACGAUCCGUAGCUGGUCUGAGAGGACGGCCAGCCACACUGGGACUGAGACACGGCCCAGACUCCUACGGGAGGCAGCAGUGGGGAAUAUUGGACAAUGGGGGAAACCCUGAUCCAGCGACGCCGCGUGUGUGAAGAAGGCCUGCGGGUUGUAAAGCACUUUUGGUGGGAACGAAAUAGUGGCCGGGCGUAACUACCCCGGCAAGCUGACGUUACUCAAUAGAAGAAGCACCGGCUAACUCUGUGCC